AGUGAACGCUGGCGGUAGGCCUAACACAUGCAAGUCGAACGGCAGCACAGUAAGAGCUUGCUCUUACGGGUGGCGAGUGGCGGACGGGUGAGGAAUACAUCGGAAUCUACUUUUUCGUGGGGGAUAACGUAGGGAAACUUACGCUAAUACCGCAUACGACCUACGGGUGAAAGCAGGGGAUCUUCGGACCUUGCGCGAUUGAAUGAGCCGAUGUCGGAUUAGCUAGUUGGCGGGGUAAAGGCCCACCAAGGCGACGAUCCGUAGCUGGUCUGAGAGGAUGAUCAGCCACACUGGAACUGAGACACGGUCCAGACUCCUACGGGAGGCAGCAGUGGGGAAUAUUGGACAAUGGGCACAAGCCUGAUCCAGCCAUACCGCGUGGGUGAAGAAGGCCUUCGGGUUUUAAAGCCCUUUUGUUGGGAAAGAAAAGCAGCAGGUUAAUACCCCGCUGUUCUGACGGUACCCAAAGAAUAAGCACCGGCUAACUUCGUG
rnacentral:rRNA from 1 species